rnacentral:rRNA from 1 species
GGCUUAACACAUGCAAGUCGAGGGGCAGCAUGGUCUUAGCUUGCUAAGGCCGAUGGCGACCGGCGCACGGGUGAGUAACACGUAUCCAACCUGCCGUCUACUCUUGGACAGCCUUCUGAAAGGAAGAUUAAUACAAGAUGGCAUCAUGAGUCCGCAUGUUCACAUGAUUAAAGGUAUUCCGGUAGACGAUGGGGAUGCGUUCCAUUAGAUAGUAGGCGGGGUAACGGCCCACCUAGUCUUCGAUGGAUAGGGGUUCUGAGAGGAAGGUCCCCCACAUUGGAACUGAGACACGGUCCAAACUCCUACGGGAGGCAGCAGUGAGGAAUAUUGGUCAAUGGGCGAGAGCCUGAACCAGCCAAGUAGCGUGAAGGAUGACUGCCCUAUGGGUUGUAAACUUCUUUUAUAAAGGAAUAAAGUCGGGUAUGGAUACCCGUUUGCAUGUACUUUAUGAAUAAGGAUCGGCUAACUCCGUGCCAGCAGCCGCGGUAAUACGGAGGAUCCGAGCGUUAUCCGGAUUUAUUGGGUUUAAAGGGAGCGUAGAUGGAUGUUUAAGUCAGUUGUGAAAGUUUGCGGCUCAACCGUAAAAUUGCAGUUGAUACUGGAUAUCUUGAGUGCAGUUGAGGCAGGCGGAAUUCGUGGUGUAGCGGUGAAAUGCUUAGAUAUCACGAAGAACUCCGAUUGCGAAGGCAGCCUGCUAAGCUGCAACUGACAUUGAGGCUCGAAAGUGUGGGUAUCAAACAGGAUUAGAUACCCUGGUAGUCCACACGGUAAACGAUGAAUACUCGCUGUUUGCGAUAUACUGCAAGCGGCCAAGCGAAAGCGUUAAGUAUUCCACCUGGGGAGUACGCCGGCAACGGUGAAACUCAAAGGAAUUGACGGGGGCCCGCACAAGCGGAGGAACAUGUGGUUUAAUUCGAUGAUACGCGAGGAACCUUACCCGGGCUUAAAUUGCAGAUGAAUUACGGUGAAAGCCGUAAGCCGCAAGGCAUCUGUGAAGGUGCUGCAUGGUUGUCGUCAGCUCGUGCCGUGAGGUGUCGGCUUAAGUGCCAUAACGAGCGCAACCCUUGUUGUCAGUUACUAACAGGUUCCGCUGAGGACUCUGACAAGACUGCCAUCGUAAGAUGUGAGGAAGGUGGGGAUGACGUCAAAUCAGCACGGCCCUUACGUCCGGGGCUACACACGUGUUACAAUGGGGGGUACAGAGGGCCGCUACCACGCGAGUGGAUGCCAAUCCCAAAAACCUCUCUCAGUUCGGACUGGAGUCUGCAACCCGACUCCACGAAGCUGGAUUCGCUAGUAAUCGCGCAUCAGCCACGGCGCGGUGAAUACGUUCCCGGGCCUUGUACACACCGCCCGUCAAGCCAUGGGAGCCGGGGGUACCUGAAGUGCGUAACCGCGAGGAGCGCCCUAGGGUAAAACUGGUGACUGGGGCU